CGCUGGCGGUAGGCCUAACACAUGCAAGUCGAACGGCAGCACAGGAGAGCUUGCUCUCUGGGUGGCGAGUGGCGGACGGGUGAGGAAUACAUCGGAAUCUACUUUUUCGUGGGGGAUAACGUAGGGAAACUUACGCUAAUACCGCAUACGACCUACGGGUGAAAGCAGGGGAUCUUCGGACCUUGCGCGAUUGAAUGAGCCGAUGUCGGAUUAGCUAGUUGGCGGGGUAAAGGCCCACCAAGGCGACGAUCCGUAGCUGGUCUGAGAGGAUGAUCAGCCACACUGGAACUGAGACACGGUCCAGACUCCUACGGGAGGCAGCAGUGGGGAAUAUUGGACAAUGGGCGCAAGCCUGAUCCAGCCAUACCGCGUGGGUGAAGAAGGCCUUCCGGUUGUAAAGCCCUUUUGUUG
rnacentral:rRNA from 1 species